rnacentral:rRNA from 1 species
UGCACAAUGGGCGAAAGCCCGAUGCAGCGACGCCGCGUGGGGGAUGAAGGCCUUCGGGUCGUAGACCCCUUUCAGCAUGGAAGAAGCGAGAGUGCCGGUACCUGCAGAAGAAGCGCCGUCUAACUCCGUCCGAGCGACCGCGGUAAUACGUAGGGCGCAAGCGUUGUCCGGAAUUAUUGGGCGUAAAGAGCUCGUAGGCGGUCAGUCGCGUCUGCUGUGAAAACCCGAGGCUCAACCUCGGGCCUGCAGUGGGUACGGGCUGACUAGAGUGCGGUAGGGGAGACUGGAAUUCCUGGUGUAGCGGUGGAAUGCGCAGAUAUCAGGAGGAACACCGAUGGCGAAGGCAGGUCUCUGGGCCGCAACUGACGCUGAGGAGCGAAAGCAUGGGGAGCGAACAG